AAGCUAAUGGUGUCCCAGAAUACCAAAGAUUUCUAAAUCAUUGUGAAGAACAGUCGGCUUCCAGCAGCAGUGACAUUCAAGGAUGGAAAGAGAGGGGCAUGAUUCCUUUGUGGAGAAAAGUUUGAAAACUGGACGCAGAAUCACUACUAACAUUUUGGGGCCCAGCAGACAGUUUGAAUGGAAGUCAUGGUGGCAGAUGAAUGGAAGUCAUGGUGGCAGACAUCCUUAUGGUCUUACUGAUCACAGUGGAAUGGUUUCAAAAUUUCAAUAGGUUCAGUGGCUGCAGAGGUGAAAUGUUUUGACAAAUAUUGGACGUCAUACGGUUUACACUGUGGAUCAGCAUGGAUGUUUUU